rnacentral:misc_RNA from 1 species
GUCAACUUAUAGCACUCCUCGGCAUGAAUCGAUUGGGGUAACCGUAUCACGUAUUUAUUCUACUUUCAGAACAAUCUUCAUGAACUCAUAAACGAAAUAACUGAUUGCAGCUGAUGGCAAAACCUGUAAUAAGCUGGGUGUCAAUCCUGCAUAGAGAGCAGGAAUCCCACCUUGAUCGACGAUCUUCAAGCUAGUUGCUAAUGCACUCAUUUUUGUGGCCCGUACCUGCAUCUGAAGCUGUCUUCUCACAACUUCAAAUGGGUAUGUAGCGGCUUCAG